rnacentral:rRNA from 1 species
AUCAAGGCUGAGGCGUGAUGACGAGGCACUACGGUGCUGAAGCAACAAAUGCCCUGCUUCCAGGAAAAGCCUCUAAGCAUCAGGUAACAUCAAAUCGUACCCCAAACCGACACAGGUGGUCAGGUAGAGAAUACCAAGGCGCUUGAGAGAACUCGGGUGAAGGAACUAGGCAAAAUGGUGCCGUAACUUCGGGAGAAGGCACGCUGAUACGUAGGUGAAGUCCCUUGCGGAUGGAGCUGAAAUCAGUCGAAGAUACCAGCUGGCUGCAACUGUUUAUUAAAAACACAGCACUGUGCAAACACGAAAGUGGACGUAUACGGUGUGACGCCUGCCCGGUGCCGGAAGGUUAAUUGAUGGGGUUAGCGGUAACGCGAAGCUCUUGAUCGAAGCCCCGGUAAACGGCGGCCGUAACUAUAACGGUCCUAAGGUAGCGAAAUUCCUUGUCGGGUAAGUUCCGACCUGCACGAAUGGCGUAAUGAUGGCCAGGCUGUCUCCACCCGAGACUCAGUGAAAUUGAACUCGCUGUGAAGAUGCAGUGUACCCGCGGCAAGACGGAAAGACCCCGUGAACCUUUACUAUAGCUUGACACUGAACAUUGAGCCUUGAUGUGUAGGAUAGGUGGGAGGCUUUGAAGUGUGGACGCCAGUCUGCAUGGAGCCGACCUUGAAAUACCACCCUUUAAUGUUUGAUGUUCUAACGUUGGCCCCUAAUCGGGGUUGCGGACAGUGUCUGGUGGGUAGUUUGACUGGGGCGGUCUCCUCCUAAAGAGUAACGGAGGAGCACGAAGGUUGGCUAAUCCUGGUCGGACAUCAGGAGGUUAGUGCAAUGGCAUAAGCCAGCUUGACUGCGAGCGUGACGGCGCGAGCAGGUGCGAAAGCAGGUCAUAGUGAUCCGGUGGUUCUGAAUGGAAGGGCCAUCGCUCAACGGAUAAAAGGUACUCCGGGGAUAACAGGCUGAUACCGCCCAAGAGUUCAUAUCGACGGCGGUGUUUGGCACCUCGAUGUCGGCUCAUCACAUCCUGGGGCUGAAGUAGGUCCCAAGGGUAUGGCUGUUCGCCAUUUAAAGUGGUACGCGAGCUGGGUUUAGAACGUCGUGAGACAGUUCGGUCCCUAUCUGCCGUGGGCGCUGGAGAACUGAGGGGGGCUGCUCCUAGUACGAGAGGACCGGAGUGGACGCAUCACUGGUGUUCGGGUUGUCAUGCCAAUGGCACUGCCCGGUAGCUAAAUGCGGAAGAGAUAAGUGCUGAAAGCAUCUAAGCACGAAACUUGCCCCGAGAUGAGUUCUCCCUGACUCCUUGAGAGUCCUGAAGGAACGUUGAAGACGACGACGUUGAUAGGCCGGGUGUGUAAGCGCAGCGAUGCGUUGAGCUAACCGGUACUAAUGAACCGUGAGGCUUAACCUUACAAC